rnacentral:lncRNA from 1 species
UAUUACUACCAUUAGUAUUGCGAUAUUAUUUUUUUGGUUUUAUUUUUAUUUAUCAUGAUGUGACUAAAAUGACAUGUAACGUAAGAAAAUGUAACAAAAGGAAAAGAGGUCAUUGUUGUUACAGUUACUAUAUGAUAGGCACAGAUUGUAAAAAAGAAGAUAAUUUGAAAAAUAAUUUAUUAAGUAUGUUGUACUGUUUAAAUUAUGCAUUAGUGAGUAUAGAUUUGUUUGUAUGUUAUAAAUUAGGUGCCAUUUAUUAUCAUUGUUAUAAUGUGAUAAAUUGUUAUAAUGUAAUAGAUUGUUAUAAUGUAAUAGAUUGUUAUAAUUUGAUGAAAAAUGGAAACGUAAAAUGUUUGAAUGAUAGUCGUUGUGGUGAUACCAAACAUGGUGGAAAAUCGAUGAAAAAUGAGAAAAAGCUGAUGAUUAAAAGAAAGAUUGAAAAAACACCCGGUAUUUUAAACAAGAAAUUAAAUUACCAGUCAAAAAAUGAAGACAUUCACGAGGAUGACAUUUACGAAUAUAAUAGUUGCGACAACUAUAGCAGUAGUAAUAACACGAGCAGUAAUAACACGAGCAGUAAUAACACGAGAAGUAAUAACACGAGUAGUAAUAACGCGAGCAGUAAUAACACGAGAAGUAAUAACACGAGCAGUAAUAACGCGAGCAGUAAUAACACGAGAAGUAAUAACACCAAUAAUAAUAACACCUGUAGUAAUAACACGAGCAGUAAUAACACCAGUAAUAAUAACAACAAUAGUAACCAAAACUCUACUACUAGUAGUAGUAGCAAUGGUAGUUGUAGUACUAACAACAAUGGUGGCAGCAGUUGUGGUUCUAACGGUAAUAGUGGUGGUAAUAAAGAUGAUGGUAAUGACGAUAAUGGUACCAGUACAAAUAUCCAAAAGGAAAGAGUUGAUGAUGAUGAUGAUGAUAAUAAUAGUAAAAAAGAAAAAAAAAGAAAAUAUAAAAUUAAUGAAAAAAGUAGAAAAAUUAAUAAAGUCAGUAUAACUAAAAAAGGGAAAAGAAAAACUAGUCCAUCGAAUUGUAAUAAUGAUGAAAAUAAUAUUAAUGGUGACGAUGUUAACAAUGGUAGUAGUAAUAUCAGUAAUAGUAAUAGCAACAUGAGUAAUGGUAAUAUUAGCAUAAAUGGUGGCAAUAGCAACAUGAGUAAUGGUAAUAUUAGCAUAAAUAGUGGCAAUAUUAGCAUAAAUAGUGGUAAUAGCAACAUGAGCAAUGGUAGUAACAACAUGAACAACAUGAACAAUAAGUAUUAUUACACUAUGAACAGUGUUAAUAAUAAUAUCAAAGAAAAUAUUCUAAACAAUUAUAUAAAUAAAGUAAAUAUGAAGACAAAUAAUUACACUACUAAAAUGGGAAGUGAAUUGAACGGCGUUGGUGGUGUUGGUGGUGUUGGUGGUGUUGGUGGUGGUGGUAGUUCCGGUGCUGGUAUCAUGAAUGGGUAUGUUAGUGGUCAAAUUGGUGGUCAGGUUAGUAACAAUAUGAACCCUGCACUGAACAAUCGUUUAAGCAACAACAACUACAACAUGUAUAUAACUGGUAUGGGUAAUAUGCCUUAUAUAUCAAAUUAUGUUAACCAAAAUUGUGUUAUCCCUAUGAAUAUGAACAACGCCAUGCUUAAUAGUACAGGAACGAGUACAGGCGCCAAUACAGGCACCAAUGCAGGCGCAAAUACAGGAACAAAUACAGAUACAAAUACAGGUACAAACGUGAACAAAAACUCAAACCAUCAAGCGAGCAAUACAGACAGUGGAUUUCGAAAUAAUACAAUGAAGAAUAAGCUACCACCAAUGAAUAGAAUUAUAACAAGCCCAUUAAAUAGCACACAAAUAUCUAGUAAUAAUAACGUUAACAACAAUAUGAACAAUUAUAAUAUUCAGUUUUUGAAUCCACAUACAAUUACUAACAAUGUGCCUAUAGGUACUAAUAAAUUAAAUUUUCCUACAAAUAGCCAUUUUUGUAGUAACGGAUUUACAUGUAAUGAUUGUUUAUGUACAGGACCUGCAUGUCAUAUUGGUUCUAAUAUGAACUUAGAUAAUAAUAAUAAAAAUAAUUUAAAUAUUCAAAUAAAUUGUAUGGUUAAUGGUACAGUAAAUUCUAAUGUGAUAAACAAUCAAAUGGGAAAUAAUAUGAAUAGUAUGAACAAUAUACAUGGCAAUAAUAUCAAUAGUGUCAAUAGUAACAAUAAUAAUGUAAUAGUACAUUUAAGUAAUCCUUUAGGUCAUCAACAGGGAAAAGUUUUAGAAAACCAAAUGAUAAAUGCAAGUUCAACCACAAACCCGAUACAAAAUAAAGGGGUUAACAACCAAAUCGACAGCAAAAUAUCAAACCAUGUGAAUAAAACAGGAAGUAACCCAAUAAAUAUAAAUGGUCAGCUACCAACUGGUCAGAAUAAUACAAUUGUUAGUAGUAGCAGUAGUAGUAAUAUUAGCAGUAGUAGUAAUAUUAGCAGUAGUAUUAGUAGUAGCAAUAAUAAUAUAAAUCAUGGAAAUACUAUCAUUAACAAUAACAACAGAAACGUUAAUAACAUUACUAAUACUACCACUAAUAAUACUACCGCUAACAAUAAUAGAAGUGCGAGUAAUAGUAUCAGUAAUAGAAAUAACAAUAUGAUUAAACAAAUGAAUAGUUAUAUGAAUCCAAAUAUAAAUCGAAAAGUAUUGACUGGUAAUAUGACUACAACUACUAAUAUACCUGGUGUUAUAAUUAAACCUGAGAUAAGUGAUGUAUCUGGUAAUAAUAGUGUUAGUAGUAAUAACAACCUAUUAAGAAAUGUUAAUAUUUUACGUGAUAAUGUGAUAAAUAAUAAAAUUACACAGAGUGGUAUGGUUCACAGUACUGGAAUACCUAACAAUAUGAUGCUUAAUGGUGCUAUACAAAUGGGUACUAUGCAUCCAGGUACAAUGUCAAAUAAUACUUUACCAAAACGUAUGUUUACUAGUCCUAUGCUAAAAAAUGAAAUAAAAGGAAAUAAUUUGCAUAGUGCGACAAACCAAAAUAUCACAACGGUUGAUAGUAAAAAUUAUCACGGUGUUAUGAAUGGGGCUUUAAACGGUACUACAAACAAUACGAUAAACAACCCAAUGAAUAACCCAAUGAAUAACUCAAUGAAUAACUCAAUGAAUAACCCAAUGAACAACCCAAUGAACAACCCCAUGAACAACCCCAUGAACAACCCAAUGAACAAUACGAUAAACAACCCCAUGAACAACCCAAUGAACAACGCUAAUAAUAAAAAAUAUGGUAAUGAAAUUUAUGGUAAAAAUAAAAUGACACAGAACGUUUCCAAUCAAAACAUGCUAAUGAAUAGAGAACUAAACAUUUACAAUCCUAAUAUAAAUUUUAUGAAUAGUUUAAAUAAUAGUAGAUAUAUUAUAAGCAAAAAUAUACAUCAAUCAAAACCAGAGGAUAAUUUAUAUGACCAUGUACAAGCAAAAGAUGAUGGAAUAUAUUUGUUGGAGUUGAAUAAUAAUAAUAAUAAUAUGCAUCCUCCUUAUAUUGUAAUGAAUAAUAAUAUGAAUGGUGAAAAAGUAAUAAGUAACAGUUAUUUGAUUUCUGAAGAUAAUUAUUAUUUAUCACCUUACCCUCACGAGCAGUCUGAUAUGUAUAGUAUAUAUCCUGUCAAUAUGAAUACCAGUGUUAUGGAUGGUAAUGUUGGAAUCGGUUUCAAUAGCGGUGUUGGUCACGUUAAUUCCAACAACGGUAUUUUGAAGAAUGUUAAUCUGAGCCACGUCAACACUAACAAUACUAGUUCGAACAACGCCAACAACAACAACAACAACAAUAACAUUAACGAAAACGCGAACGACGAUGAAAACAAUAGCAAUAAUAAAAAUUUAUUGAUUAAUAAAAAUAGAAACAGUAAUGCUAGUAAUAUAAAAAAAAAAAAAAAAAAUAACCAAAAGAAUGCAAAAGACGUAGAUUUAAAUAAUUUACAAAAUUUGAGAAGUGUUAAAAUGAAUUGGGUUAAAUUUGAUAAUAUUUUUAAAAAAAUAAAAUUAGAAAAUAGUUACGAUUAUAUGUUAUCAGAUGAUAAUAAAGAACAUGAUGAGGAUAAUGAUGGUGGGUAUUAUGAUAAGAUGAUGAAUAGUAGAGAUGAAUUAGGUUUAACAAUGAAUGAAAAAAAUAUAAUAAAAAAUAUUAUGCCUUCAUCUCAACAAGGUAGUAUAUCAGAUACAAGUUGUAGUUUAGAUGAUUUUUUUGAUGACCCUUUAAAAAUGGAUUGUAAAUCAUUUGUUGAAUUAUAUUAUGACAUAUUAAAUAAAAUAAAUUUAGUUAAUUUAAAUAAUAAAACUAAUUUUGAAAAUAGUUUUUGUUUACAUACAUAUGAAGAGAUAUAUAUGACUAUUAAAAAAUUAAUUGAUAUAAGUACAUUAAAAAUUUAUAAUAAUUUUACUUAUACCAAUUUUAAUGAAAAUUUAAAAAACAAAUAUAUGAAACAGGGAGUUAGUUAUGAUGAUUUAAGUAGUGGGAUUAACAUACGUGAAUAUAUGAACAUAAGUGAGGUUGCUAACACAGAUUGUGGUUCUAAUACAAAUGCCGAUUCUAGUGAUGAUACCAAAGAAAAACCUAACUUAUUUGACAUCCUAUUAAACGCAAAUAAUAACACUGUAUUUGAAGAACUAUUAAAAAAGAUAAAACAAGUUGAAACAACCACAAUGUGUAAAAAAUGUUUGGAUGAAAAUAACCAGGACAAACAAGAUAAUAAUAAUAAUAAUAAUAAUAAUAAUAAUAAUAAUAAUAAUAAUAAUAGUAAUAGUAAACAAUACAACGAAAUUAAUAACAAUGAUGAGACGAAACCGUUGUUAGUGACGAAUGUAUCAACGGAUUCGUAUCCUUUACAAUCAGGUAUACCUACAAAAUGUGACAAUAACAGUACGUCAGUAGUAAUACCUAUAAAUAACGACAUAAACAACAGUAUCAAUAACAAAACUGACAACACAAAUAUACAACGUAGUUCAGUGUUAUACAAUGAAGACAUAACAAACAACAAAACAAAAGAAACUCGCAAUAAUAGUACUUAUAAAAAUAGUAAAGGCGUGAAUGUAACAAGAAAAAACACAAAUGAAAAUAAAAAUGCAAUAAAUCAGAAUUUAAUUAUUGAAAAAUUAUUAACAAGAGGAUUCAAAACAUAUACACUAAAAGAUUUUAUGAAUGUAAAACUAACUGACAAUUUAAAAGAGAUAUUAAAUAUAUACACAGAAAACAUAUAUUUUAAUUUAAAAAUGGCAAAGGAGCAAAAUAAAAAGAAACAACGGAUAAAAAGGCAAAGAAUAAAAAUACAAAAAAAAAAAAAAAAUAUAUAUAUUCUUAUAAUGAAAAAACUUAGGUGGAUAACAAAUCAUGUAUAUCAUUACUGUUGUUACUACAACAAUAAGAGUCACUUCGAACGAUAUCACUUUUACCAUUUAAAUAGGAUAUACAAUGUGAAUGAAAAACAAAGUAGCGAUGGUGGUGGUGGUGGUGGUGCUUUUGAUUUUAUGAAAAAGUAUCUUUUCAGCAUGGCUAAGAGUAGUAAAGUAGAAGUAAAUUUGCCUACUCAAGUAAAUCAGUUAAAACGGAUUAAACAGAUGAACAAGUCGAGCAAAUUAAAAAAAAUAAAAAAAAUAAAAAAAAAUAAAAAGUUAAAUGGUGUGAAAAAUGUAAAGAAGUUGAUCGAUAAAACUGUGCAACACUCUAACAAUUUGAAAAAAAAAAGAAUAAAAUAUGGAAUGGAUAACAUAUACGAAUGCAAAAAAAAGAUCUUAGAUGAAGAAAUGCAAAAAGAAUGUAAAGAUAACAUACAUGAACCACUUUUUUCACUCACGUCAGUUGAUUCAGCUAUAUUAGGUGAUAAAGCGUAUGUUGAUUUUGUUACAAACAAUGAUACGAGUUUAAAAAAAACGCAGGAGCAAAAACAUGACAAUUAUACAGAUCGGGUGAAUUUAGACGAACUAGAAAUAAAAAACAAGACAGACAUAUUUUCGGGUGAUGAAGCCGAUGUGACUAAUGCUGUUACUGGUAUUAAAAACAAAAAGGAUGACAAGACAAAUGAAAAUAAUAACACCGAACUGGUUGAUGUAAAAUAUGUAGAUAAAAAAAAAAAAUAUAUUACUCAUAAACAUUCUGCUCGUUUUCUCUACUACCAAAGUAAAUUUAUGCAAAAUGACUUUUGCAAGUAUACGGACUUAAGAAGUAAACAAAGCAGUAUAUAUUUGGACCUUGAAGAAAAAGUAAGAAAGACGAUUGAAAGAUGCCUUGAACACGUCCAUAC